rnacentral:rRNA from 1 species
AGCGAACGCUGGCGGCAGGCCUAACACAUGCAAGUCGAACGAACUCUUCGGAGUUAGUGGCGGACGGGUGAGUAACACGUGGGAACGUGCCUUUUGGUUCGGAAUAACUCAGGGAAACUUGUGCUAAUACCGAAUGUGCCCUUCGGGGGAAAGAUUUAUCGCCAUUAGAGCGGCCCGCGUCUGAUUAGCUAGUUGGUGAGGUAACGGCUCACCAAGGCGACGAUCAGUAGCUGGUCUGAGAGGAUGACCAGCCACACUGGGACUGAGACACGGCCCAGACUCCUACGGGAGGCAGCAGUGGGGAAUCUUGCGCAAUGGGCGAAAGCCUGACGCAGCCAUGCCGCGUGAAUGAUGAAGGUCUUAGGAUUGUAAAAUUCUUUCACCGGGGACGAUAACGACGGUACCCGGAGAAGAAGCCCCGGCUAACUUCGUG